ensembl:lncRNA
UCUCCUCCGACCUUGGCUGCCUCUGGGUCAUGUCACGCCGUCCUAGGCUGUUCCUUCAGUGCUCCGAAAGGACUACAGACUGAGCUCGGGAGAGCAGGGCCGAGAUGGGAGGGCAGACAGGGAAGGAGCCAUGCUGCACCCUCGCGGAACCGGAAGGGUGCGCAAGCUGACAGAAGAGCGUCAAGGGCAGAUCCAGGCCUUAAAGACAAACUGAAGCCCACAGAGCCUGAGAAGGGCAAGUGGAGAGAAACAUCAAGAACCCACCUCCUUCAACCACCAGCAGCGCCGAAAGCUGGAGGCUCAGUUUGGCAGACCACGCCCCCAGAGAAGAACCUCGGAAAGAGCGGGCGGAGACUCCGCCUACAGGCGAGAACAGUGAGGUCCGGUCUGGGAACAGGCGGUUCAGACAGGAAGCAGCAGGAGCAGCGUGAGCAGUCACUCCUGCAGGCAAACCGGAGCCUUCCGCCGCCGAGAAGAAUAUGCCCCGGGCUCACAACACCCACCCAGCAUUCAUCUUUCUCCCUGUGGUUUACAUUUCCAUGGCUCCGUCCCUGUCAGCCCAAGAGCCCCUCUGGCUGUUCAGAGCCCUUCGUCUUCACAGAAAGUCCCACGGUUGAUUUCCGAGCGAGGGCUCGAGCCCCAGCUGGGGGGCUGGUAGCCUCUGUCGCUGCCCUUGUCCUGACGCCUGUGGCCCGAAUCAGAGCUCUGCAGUUUUCCUGGCGAGUGUGAGGCUGCAGCCGUCUGCUCCGUGCCCUCCACCUGCGAGGUCCCAGCGAAGAGGACAGCACGGGCGUCCCUGAGCACCUUGGCGGUCCAGCUCUAGGUCCCGGGCAAACCUUCGCACCCAGCGCGCCGAGCCAAGACUGCUAUCUGCAGUCUCGGAGACGGCGUGGCACCCAGGGCCCCUCCAUAGGUAGACUUUGCCUUUCUCUGACCAAAGUAUUUUAAAAUUAAUUGUGUUGGUGCAUUUUGAAUGUGCAUAAUGAUCACACUCAUGGGGGGAGUUUGUACUGCACAUGGUACAUCUCGGUUCCUUUUUCCCUAACUUCUUCCCCUCCCUUCAACUCCCUUUCCCCCUCCUUGCUUACAAAAGCUGUUUCCCCUCUGUUCCUUCUGUUCUCCUUUUCUUCUCCCUUCUCCCCUCCCC